GCAGACACAUUCCAGCCAAUCAGCAGCAGACCCUCCCUCCCAGACCCUCCCUCCCAGACCCUCCCACCUCCUGGACAGCUCACUAAGAAUGCAGCUUCUCAAUGAAUGUAAAAUGUAUGGGAGGGUCUGGGAGGGAGGGUCUACUGCUGAUUGGCUGGAAUGUGUCUG